GUUGGUGUUUAGAUCUUCUCACUGGAACGCAGCUGAAACCAACAGCCUGAAGGACGUUAGAGAAUGGAACACCCGCGCUCUUCAGCAAGACGAGGGAAACAGCACUGUAAAGAUGUCCCACUGGAUUCUGGCCUCGCUGAUUUCUGAUGAGAACUCUGCAGUCAUUCUGAUUCUCAUGUUGAAGAAAAAUUAUUCUGACACUUGUUAAAUGAACCUUGGUUUACACCUGGCAGGAAUGAAUCCAGCUAAGAAGACAGUUCCCAGCCGUGCAAAAGGAGUUGCUGGGUUUCCGAGAGUGCUUUAGGUGGAGAGAGGCUGCUUAGGUUCGAACUAUGGUCUUUUUACCUUCUAUUUCCCCAUCUUUAAUGCAAUGUCCAAAGUGCCAGACCACAAGGUAACCUUGAGAAUGAAACCAUUUGGCCAAGAAAGACCAAGAAGAGAGACAGAGGCCUAUCUCCCUGCUGAUUGGUCUCCCAGCCCUCAGAUGCCUAUCUCAGAACAUCUUUAAUGAAGCAGAAACAAAACCCUAAUUAUACAAGUCUUUAGUGGGGUGGCGGUGGAGGUGGGAAGAAGGUCUUCUUUUCUUGCUGGCUGAAGGAAAUUCAUGAUACAAUCCCUUCCAAGAAAAUUUUAUAGAAAAAUAAACUCACCACCCCAAAAUGCUUUCAGAUUAUUUUUACAGCUAGGUAGGAAAUUACAAAACAAGCCCAUUAUAUAUUUGAACUUUUGACAUAUUUUGAUAAGAAGUGGAGCUAUU